UUGGAGGGCAAGUCUGGUGCCAGCAGCCGCGGUAAUUCCAGCUCCAAUAGCGUAUAUUAAAGUUGUUGCAGUUAAAAAGCUCGUAGUUGAAUUUCGGGGUCAGUAGGUUGGUCGUGCCACAGGUAUGUACUGAUCUUACUGAUUCCUCCUUCCUGAUGAACCGUAAUGCCAUUAAUUUGGUGUUGCGGGGAAACUGGACUGUUACUUUGAAAAAAUUAGAGUGUUUAAAGCAGGCUAACGCUUGAAUACAUUAGCAUGGAAUAAUGAAAUAGGACGUUCGAUCCUAUUUUGUUGGUUUCUAGGAUUGACGUAAUGAUUAAUAGGGAUAGUUGGGGGCAUUAGUAUUCAAUUGUCAGAGGUGAAAUUCUUGGAUUUAUUGAAGACUAACUACUGCGAAAGCAUUUGCCAAGGAUGUUUUCAUUAAUCAAGAACGAAAGUUAGGGGAUCGAAGACGAUCAGAUACCGUCGUAGUCUUAACCAUAAACUAUGCCGACUAGGGAUCGGAUGAUGUUAAUUUUUUAAUGACUCAUUCGGCGCCUUACGGGAAAC
rnacentral:rRNA from 1 species